AAUCAUUACUGGAAUUUCGCGGAAUUUUAAUUUAUUUUGUUUUUGUCCAUUUUUCCGUUCUCUAAUGUGUAAAUUCUUUUUGUUAUGCAUCAGAAUCAGAAUAAAUGUUCUCUAGGGUUUUAUUCAAUUGUAAUUGUUAACACAGCGAAAUCCACAACCGUUUACACAUAGGUUACGAUACAUGUGGAUUUACGUGGGAGGCAUAUUUA
rnacentral:lncRNA from 1 species